rnacentral:tRNA from 1 species
GGGGCUGUAGCUCAGUGGCAGAGUGCUUGCUUUGCACACAUGAGGUACUGAGUUUGACUCUUAGCACCA